rnacentral:lncRNA from 1 species
AUAAUCUUUCUUUCUCUUUCCAUCUUGUAUGGAUAUGACAAGAAAAUGGCUAUGCGACCCAGGAGGAUAGCCUUCAUGAAGAACCUCACCAUGCUGGUACCUUGAUCUUGGAUUUCCAGCCUCCAGACUGUACAUCAUACACAAUAGAACUGCUGUCCCCCAAAGCAAGCCAUAAAAUCUAGGAAAACUAUCUGACUCUCUCUUCUCCUCCCUGAAGACCCUUACAUGACAAGUGUCGUGCCCUAUACCCAGAAGAAGAAAUGCUACACAGAGAGGCCAAGAAAAAUCUGAACACACAGGACUUGUUGGAAUUCCCCUCAAGUUAUUAUCAUUACAUCAUGCCUUUUUUGUCCAGUCAUAUUUCUACACAGCUGUCCAUUCUUCAUUGAACCUAAGCUUAAGAAUAUGCACUUCUCCUUGGAUCUCUGGGUCUUCAUUUCUGAGUGCUCCCG